GCGCAGCCAGUUAAGGCUGACUGGGCCUUGCCUGCCAGGGGGCCUGUGUCAAUGGCUGCGCACAGCACCCCCUCUGGUUGUGUAUGUGCCUGAUACGGAGCGCCUUAAGGCCCCUGGGACAUGGCA